AGAUACUUAAAGUUUCUCUGUUAACUUGCCAUGCUUGGAGUAGUGAAUUAUCAUACCAGGACUCUUAGCUAGUUGGGUGAAUACUAACUACAGGACACUGACUGGCUGAGAAGAUGGAGUGAAACAUCUCAGAUCAUUCAGAGACUGCCAGAAAUGAAUUUAUAAAAUAGCCUUUGAAGACAAAAUCAUCUGGUCAGGCUGCCUGCAGAUUCAGACCCUUGGCUCUGCUGCCUUAUUGCCAGUUACAUUACAGUAUAUGACAAGGGUUUAUUAAUGCUGUACUGUAGUCAACAUCCAUGCAAGCAUAUACAAUGGCCCCCAUGCAGAAAAAAGUUGAAAAGAAAGGUGGUAAGAAGGAGAUGAUUAUGGUGGAAGUUAAGAAGGAAAUCAUGAAGAAGUAUGAACGAGGUAUGUGAGUGGCCAAAUUUGCAAGAUUUUAUAAGAAGUCUUUGCAUCUCAUCUGCAGAGGAGGAGGAGAAAAAGCUGAAGUCUUCUUUGUCAAGUAAUCAAUGUGUUUACUGAAUGAUAAAAGCGAUGUCAAGAAGCUGGUGAGACUCAAAGUUAUUUGGAAGAUAUAAUGCGGGCCAGGGAAAAUUCACCAACGUGAACUGUACCAUCAUUAGUCAGAACUGAUGAUAUGCAAGAGAAAAACAGAACAUCUGUUUGCAUUUUUCCAAAGCAGAAGAGUGAGAAAUUGGUUUGUUCCCUUAAUGUCACUAAGCCAGCCGAGAUCAACUUGAAUACAGUGGCGUUUUCUACAUCAGGGUUUUGGAAAGUAAAAGUAUAUUUAUGGAAACUGCAAGCUUUUAAACAUCAUGCCUACAGCUUUUUCAUGCCAACAGCCUACAAUCAGGGCUCAGCUGAAGCCUUUCCUUGUGUCCAGUCUACUCCUCCGCCUGCUUUUGAUUCUCUGCCAAAACGCAUGUAAUGGUGGCUGACAACCUCGCUGUGACAAGCUCUGAAUAAAGAGCCUUUGCUUCUCUCA